rnacentral:tRNA from 1 species
GGCGGAUGUAGCCAAGUGGUUAAGGCGAUGGACUGUGAAUUCACGACGCGCGGGUUCAAUUCCCGUCGUUCGCC